UGGGGAAUAUUGGACAAUGGGCGCAAGCCUGAUCCAGCCAUGCCGCGUGUGUGAAGAAGGCCUUCGGGUUGUAAAGCACUUUUGUUGGGGAAGAAAAGCAUCCGGUUAAUACCCGGGUGUCAUGACGGUACCCAAAGAAUAAGCACCGGCUAACUUCGUGCCAGUCAGCCGCGGUAAUACGAAGGGUGCAAGCGUUACUCGGAAUUACUGGGCGUAAAGCGUGCGUAGGUGGUCUGUUAAGUCUGAUGUGAAAGCCCCGGGCUCAACCUGGGAAUGGCAUUGGAUACUGGCAGUCUAGAGUGCGGUAGAGGGGUGUGGAAUUCCCGGUGUAGCAGUGAAAUGCGUAGAUAUCGGGAGGAACAUCCGUGGCGAAGGCGACACCCUGGACCAGCACUGACACUGAAGGCACGAAAGCGUGGGGAGCAAACAGGAUUAGAUACCCUGGUAGUCCACGCCCUAAACGAUGCGAACUGGAUGUU
rnacentral:rRNA from 1 species